UAUCCCUGCCAUUUUUAAUCAUGCUGGUGAGCGCAU
rnacentral:piRNA from 1 species